UACGGGGGGGGCAAGCGUUGUUCGGAAUUACUGGGCGUAAAGGGCUCGUAGGCGGCCAACUAAGUCGGACGUGAAAUCCCUCGGCUUAACCGGGGAACUGCGUCCGAUACUGGAUGGCUUGAGUUUGGGAGAGGGAUGCGGAAUUCCAGGUGUAGCGGUGAAAUGCGUAGAUAUCUGGAGGAACACCGGUGGCGAAAGCGACUCACUGGACCGACACUGACGCUGAGGUGCGAAAGCUAGGGUAGCAAACGGG
rnacentral:rRNA from 1 species